rnacentral:rRNA from 1 species
UACGAAGGGUGCAAGCGUUACUCGGAAUUACUGGGCGUAAAGCGUGCGCAGGCGGCUUCUCAAGUCAGGGGUGAAAGCCCAGAGCUCAACUCUGGAAUUGCCUUUGAGACUGAGUGGCUUGAGUACGAGAGAGGUGAGUGGAAUUCCCAGUGUAGAGGUGAAAUUCGUAGAUAUUGGGAAGAACACCGGUGGCGAAGGCGGCUCACUGGCUCGUAACUGACGCUCAUGCACGACAGCGUGGGGAUCAAACAGA